UGCCAGGCUCAUGUACGACAUCAUUUUACUGCAUUACAUAUUUAAUUUUGCUGAACACAUAAAACAGGAGAUGAAAAAGCACAAAGUGAGGCAGCCGCUACUCUGCCUCACUGCAGGUGGUUAAAAUUAUGACAGAAACGGCAUGUGCAGACUGCCUCAGAAAACACGUCAGGAAUUGAAACGGCGGUGAUUCACAUUUCUUCCACGAUCCGUUUUAAUCAUGACGUAUUCAUAUUUUGUAUUUGACUGUGUAAUGCACUCAUAACAACUUCCGCCAACAGUUCAGAGCCGAGGAUGAGACUCGUCAUUUCCAAGACCAGAACCUGAAUUUCAUCAUAGCCACAAAGUGUCGCAGGGUGGUGAUUCAUGAAUGCACUGAUCAGCAGGUUAGUAACGUCUGAGCGCAGACUUUGUGGGAUUGUCCUGAAGAGGUGAGUCACACCAUCCCAUCUGUCACCAUCUGUGUCACCAUCACAGUUCGUCACGAUUUUUUUUUUUUUUUGUCAACGCCAGUCGC